rnacentral:rRNA from 1 species
CGAGGUGUUGGUCUUGGGUUUUGGCUUGGUUCCUUCUGCGUCGCCUUGUUUGGCAUCCGCUUCUGUGGCAGCGUUCUCUUUCUCUCUUACCGCCGGUAGAGGAGGUGGAGGAUGAAGAGCGUCAGCGUCGAAGGCCGCAGGCCUCCGCCGUCGUUGCCGGCAGUCGGCGCCUCCGCAGCCCACCCGUCGACGCAGUACGAGCUCCGCCGGAGACGGAGACCAUCACCACCGCCACCGCGCCACCACCCCUCCUGGUCCUCGGACUGCCUCCUCCUGGACCUCCUCGAGUGCCCGACGGAGCUGGAGCCGAAGUCGAAGAGGAUAUUGCUCUAGGGCCCGGAGACGCCCUGCGAGGGGCCGGACCUCGAGACAAUGAGGUACUGCGCCUCUAAGGAGCUGCUCGUCUCCUGCCACCAGCCCGUCGACCUCGGGCGUCGCCGCCGCCGCCGCGGGUAGGGCCUGACCUUCUAGAGGCCGGUACCCCUAUUAGGUCUCCUUCACUUUCGAUCCGAGUUCAUAACCCGAGCCUGUCACCGUACGUGCCAGUUUGAUACGUCGACUACCUCCAACCAUUACACGACCAAGAGAGAAUUGUAUAUACGAUGAUGUUCGACUUGACCUCCACCGACUUCAACUUCUUACUGCGAAUACAAAUACACCAUAACUCGAGCCACUCGUUCACGUCUCCUCCACGAAGACGAAACACAAUGGCUCCGCUGUCUUGACUGGUGACGAAAACGUUUUAAAGUCUCCCCCUCUCCUAACGACUGUUGUACAUUGACACUCUUUAAGCGUUCCACCGAGCGUCAGCCGGAUUAGACUUUCGUAGUCUUCGAACGGUAAGGAGAAUCCACUGAACAGAGAUACACCGCGUCGCAAACGUUCACGGACUCUGUAGACGAACAAAGACGAGAAGGAACGUCACGAGUGAUCCACGAGGCCAACGCGGCGUGACGAGGCCCAACUCGAAACGUUUAGGAACCCAGCUAAACAAGUUAAUAUCGAUACAAGAGCACGAGGAAAGUCGAAUCUAACCGAAACCUCAUCAUCUGGAACAUAUCCUGAACGUACUUGUAUAGACAACUAAGACGACAUGACGUGACCCUCCCACGUCUUUGUCAAAGACUUUAUUUAAAGACGCAGAUCGGAUUGUCGUUUGACCCCGACGACUUUAACACUUACAAUAUACUAGCGUGACUUGACUUAGACACAUCGAAGUUCUGACUUUUUCUACUUAGUGUAGUGAUUAACCCAUAUAUUAACCACUUAGUCCAUUACAGAGAGGAGCUGCUACUAGAUCUCGUGUGUGGACUCCUCUUCGUGAGCUGACUCGUAACAGCUUCUCUUGGAAAAUAACUACCUCUUUGGGUGACUCGAAUCCGUAUUACGUAGACCACGAAGAGGUUUGGGUGAGGAAACUUUCUGGACCCUCAAAGGUUCAAGAAAGAGAAGACUCGUCUAAACCGGUAUUAUAGGUGUACUGGUACUUAAGACCUAUUAUUGACCUGGUCACCUGGGGUGAAUCUCCUUUACAGUCAGCUUCCAAGUAGUGAGAAGUAAAAAACAGUCUUAAUCGGAUGAGGUAACUCGACUCGUCCCUAGAAAAUUACCUCGGGUUUCGACGUUGAUAAAUGUGUCCGUUUACAACAGAACAAGGGGGUUUUAUAGGAGUAGGAGCAGUCUGAGUCGGUGAAGUUUAGAUGAGGGAAGCAGGAGGUAUUACUUACAUCCUGCAAAAAACUGACAUCUCAGUUUUUGUAAUACACUGCCUCCCUCAUGAAUUGACCCGUCUUGUUAUCAGGUAAACCCGUCUGUGUCUCGAGAGUCCAGGACUCGUGAUUGUCUCUAUUAAACAGACUCCCCUACCACCUUGACAUUGUUUUCCGGAGUAUGUGUGUAGUACUUUGACGAGGAGGUGUCAUUGUUUUCGAGGUCUAAAAAAACAAAACAAAACUUUCUAGGUCGUUAUCAACCGAAAAGUAACUAGUAGUCGUCAGACUCCCCUACCACCUUGACAUUGUUUUCCGGAGUAUGUGUGUAGUACUUUGACGAGGAGGUGUCAUUGUUUUCGAGGUCUAAAAAAACAAAACAAAACUUUCUAGGUCGUUAUCAACCGAAAAGUAACUAGUAGUCGUCUCUCGCCGCCGUUUAACACUGUUCCACCACUAGAUACCUAAUGUCUCCUUUAGUUUUCUUUCAUCCUUUUUUGAUCCUCGGGCUACCCGAAAAUAAAGGAGGUGUUUAACCUGUACUUGAAGGAGACUUUUUGAGUGUCCUACUUUUAGGUGUGAUCUGUGUCUAUUUAGGUGAAAAAGGUCAUCUACAUGGCG